AGGACUGAAACUCCGUUGGAGUUAUCACCUUUGAGAAACUCAAUCAUUUCUGUCUUCUCCUUGUGUCUGCCAACAUACUCCACAACUCCAUCCAGUACGGAAGUUGGUUGCAGCCUAGGUUGCUUUCCCUUGGAGGUUGGAGCUUGAGACAAGAUCUCACUCAACCCCAAACUACUUCUUCGAGUAGUCAAACUAUUCAGUCUAGCAGUGAUCUCUUUCACCUUGGGAAUCAUGGAAUUCUUAAACAGGAAAGAAGUGGGAGCGAAACUAGUACCAGUAAAGCAGGUAGGAAUGAGCUUCCGUACAUUGCUAGUGCUGGCUUGAGCUUGCGAUUUCUUAAGCUUGAGACGUAACUCUUCAUAAGCGAACUCAUCCAAGAUGUCAUCCACAUCGUAAGCCAAGUCCUGGAGAUCCUCCAACCAUUUCUUCACACCCAUGUUCUUGAUCUGCUUCUUCUCUGCAUCUUCCAACACUGCUUGGAUAUCAGGCAAUAUGGACUGCCACUGCUUGAGCUGCUGGUGGAGUUGGUUGUGAUUAGCAACAAAUUUGAGUGCAGAGUCGAGCGAUUUGCCCAACAACAGGUCCAGGAACCCAGAAAGAGCAGCCUCUCCAAUGACAGACAUGUUGGAAUUAUGAGAAAGAAGUUGAAAAGAGCAAUGAACAAAGCCAAAAUGGAAAGUCAGGGAACAAAAAGAGAAAGAAAGGGAAAUGGAAUCUGCAAAAUUAGAGAAAGUUGAAGAAGUUGGCACUAUUUUUUAAGCAUCCAAUAAUUCAGACUAUGAGUUGGGAAGGCAGUGGAACGUGAAAAAGGAUCCCAAGUGGUUGUUGAUGGGGAAAAGACAACGAAAGUGGAAAUUAAAGAGGUCCCAGUAGAGGUGAUCAUGGCUGGGCUGGGCCGGGUUCGGGUCGAGUUUGAAUAAAAUUUUAGACCCAUAUUUUAGGCCGGGCCAGACCGGGCUAAGAAAACAGGUCUAAAUUUUUGUUCGAGCCAAGCCCAAAAGAAAAUUACUAAGCCCAAGCCCGGCCCAACUUGCCCAUAUUAUUUUUUAUAGUUUAUUUCAUUAAAUAAAAAAUUUUAAAACAAAUAUUAAAACAAAAAAAAGACUAAAAUAAUUCUUAAAGCAAUACACAAAUUAAAAAUAUAAUAAAAAGUGGUUAUAUUAAAAUUGAAACAAAUUAGAACUAAAAUAAUAGCCAAAUUAAUAAUAAAACAAAAAUAUAUUUGUUUAAAAAUAAAAAUAUAUAUUUAAUAUAUAAUUCGGGUCGGGCUGGGUCCGGGUCAAAAAAGUUUUACCCCAGCCCGGCCCGUUUUUUAAACGGACCUCUUUUUUUUUUUGCCCAAACCCAUAUUUCGGGCCUAAAUUUUUAGCCGAACUGAUAUAAGAAUGCGCACGGACCAAGAUCGAGUUGCCAAGUCACGGAAAACUCUUAUGAAAACUUGAAACGAUCAGAUCUGAAACGAAUUAGCAUUCAAAUUAAAGAAAUCAAUCAGAUUUUAAAAAUAGACAAUUAGGAUUUGGGGCAGCAAGAAGAGAGGAAAAAUUGAGGGGUCAAACAGUUCUUGAAACCCAAAGGAGGUUGCAAUUCUGCCCAAUUGAACAACGGGGUAGUUUUCCCCAAAUUUUAGCAACCUAAUUUCACCAAAAAGGGAAGGAAUUUUAGUCGGCAAAAACCCUAGAAAUUGGAGAUUUUUGGUGCGAUUCUUGACUGCCAAGAGAGGAGUAUGGAUCGAUUUCUUUAAGUUGGAAUGAACUGAAAACACAACAAGAAGAUCGAUUAAAACAAGAUAAGCAAUCGGCACAAGGCAGAAUUUAAAGAAAAAAUUGACAGCAAGCAGAUAAAGAUAAAGUCAGCCUUGAAAUCCCAAGAGAUUUCACAACUCCCUUCAAACGGCUCUAAUCUUCCCUCCAAUGAAUAUCAAUGGCAAGAAGAAGGUUGAAGAUGGUUCCCACAAUCAAAAAGAUUGUUAAAACAACUUCUAAAAAAAACUCAAGAGAAAAUUCUUAGAGAACUCAAAGAGAAUUUUCACUCAAAACAAAUCUGAAAUUUUCAAUGUGUUUCUUAUGUGUCUUACAAGGGUGGCCGGCCAUGCCUAUUAAUAGGCCUUAAUAUUUUCCUAAUCCUAUUAGAAAACUAAAACUAAAAAAACUCCUAAUUAAAUAUUAAAGAGAAAUUCGAUCAAGGGCUUUAAAUUGGGCCUCUUGAACAGAAUAUUUACAUAACAAUUAAUUUAGAAAGUCUAAAAUUGAAACUAAGAAUUAAUUUUUUACAAAUUGGGCCACUUUACAAUUUGGCCCGAUUUUCAACUAAGUAUGAUUUUAACUUUUUGGUUGGGCUUUGGAAUCGUCUCAUUGGGCCUUGUGGUAAUUUGAGCCCAUCACGUUCUUGAGCUUGAGUUGGGCCUUUGUGACUCGUAUCACGAACCCUCUCAUUUUUCGAGCGGGCCAUCGGGCCGGGCCGGGUAACCCAACCCAUAUUACCUCUAGGUCCCAGUCCAUGAAAUUAUUGCACCCUCUCAUUUCAUAUCUCCCUGCAAUUAUUUGAAUAGCUUUUCUUUAAUUUUUCAUCUAUUUUAAUCAUUGAAUUUGUAUUUAUUUUUAUUAAAUCACUUCAAAAUAAAUAGAAAACCUAAAAGGGUAUACAAUCUUAACAAAGAUAAAAACAUUAAAAUUUUUAUUUAUUUUGAAAUAAUUUGACAAGAAAAUACAAGUUCAAAAGCUAAUUCUUUUUCAUAAAAUUAGAUAACCAAAUCUUUAUGUAUUUCUUUUAUGAGACAAAAGUGGAUUAAAGUGUUUGCAACUCUAAAAUGGAUGGCCGCUCUUUUAUAGGUAUAGAAUUUAAUGAUUCUUAAGAUAAUUUGUUGUGGUCAUUUGAGUUGUUAAUUUGUUAAUAAUAAUAAGGAGAACGAAUAGAAAGUAAUGGCUUGGCUCAUGAAUAAACGACCAAUCCCCGAUAGAAGAGAAGGUUCCAUUGGAACUAUUAUUUAUUUCAGGGUGUCUUGUCUCUCUCUUUUUUUACUUAAAAGAGAGAGAGAGAGAGAGAGAGGAAGUGCUAACAGAAAUGGUAAGAAGAUAUUGGAACAUAAAUUUGGAAGAGAUGUUGGAAGCAGGAGUUCAUUUUGGUCAUGGUCUACUUAUGGCUUCGUGCACUAUUUGUUAGAAUGCAUCAAACACAAAUCUUAAGAUUAAAUUAAAUUCUAAAAAAAUACUAAUACAAAUAAAAAUAUUAAAAUUCAAGAUAAAAAUAUUGAUGUGACAUUAAAUUAUUGAAAAUGGAUACAAAUAUGAUGGUAUCCCAAUUUUAUACUAUCAUAUUCCUCCAAAAUAAUUUUCCUUUUAAUAUGUAUAUUAUACUUUUUGGUUUUGGGCAGAAAUGGAUUGCAAAUGGAAUUUCUUUUCUUCUAUAGUUCUAAUUAUGUUCUUUCUUUUUCUCUUGUAUAAUAUUUCGCCGCCACGCCACCUUCCCAAUUUUUUCCCCUUCUUUUAUUUAAUUCUUGUUGAAUUAUUAGGGGUGUGUAAAUUUUGGAUAAAACCAAAUUAAUUUGGUUAAUUAAACAGUUAAUCGAAUUAAUUCGGUCAAGGGUCAGUUAAUAAUUUUUUGAAAGUUCAGUUAAUGGUUAAUUAGAUAAUUAGUGAACUGAACAAAGACAAAAUGGAAACCCAGGGACCAAAAUAGAAAGAAAGAAAGAUGGAUUCUGUGUAAUUAGUGAAAGUUGAAGAAGUUGGGACAAUAUUUUUUUAAGCAUCCAAUAAUUCAGACUAUGACUUGGAAGGCAUUGGAUUAUGAUAAAGAAGAUGGAUCCCAAGUGGUUGUUGCUGGGAAAAGCAAAUGAAAGUGGAAAUUAAAGAGGUCCCAGUCCAUGAAAUUCUUGCACCCUCCCAAGUGGUUGUUGCUGGGAGAAGACAAUGAAAGUGGAAAUUAAAGAGGUCCCAGUCCAUGAAACUAUUGCACCCUCCCAUUUUUCCGUCCCCGCAUUAGCUUUUCUUUUAGGCAUAAUGAUUACUCCUAAUUUGCAUAAAAAAUAAUUUUAACUCUUAAGUUUAUCUUUCAAUCAAACCACUCUAAAAUAGACCCGACAUACAUGUGAAUUAUAAUCUAGAAAACACAUUAACAUUUAAUUAAUUUUUAAAAUUUAAAAAAUUAAUUAAGUGAACAUUAGUAAAGUUAAAAAAAGUUACAAAUUUAUGGGCUAAAAAAUAAAAAUUUAAAUAGAGAACUAAUUUUUUUUUAAGAAGUCGAAUAAAUUAUUAUGUCUUUCUUUUAUUGGAUCAAAAUAGAUUAAAAUGUCUGCAAUUCUAAAAUGGAUGGACUUAGUAUUUGGAUACAUUAUUAUUUUUACUGGAGAUCGAGAAAAGAUGGACUUUCUAUGAGCCCAUUUUUCUGAUAGGAUUUAUUACCACUUUAGCAACUUUGGCGAUUUAGUCAAUUACUCGAGAUUCACGAUUAUUUUAUUUCUUGAUGCUAGCAAUGUAUAGUGAUCAAAUAGCAUCAUUUCUUCUUAAGACCUUUUACUUUUUUCAUCAUGUGGGAGUUUGAAUUAAUUCUCAUUUAUCUAUUUCUAUCCAUGAAGGGGAAGAAACAUCUAUGCUCGGUUACAAAAUUUAUUUUGUACAUUGCAGGCGGUUUCAUUUUUCUAUUAAUAGGAGUUUUGCGUCCCGGUUUAUACGGUUCUAAUGAACCAACAUUAAAUUUUGAAAUAUUAGAUCAUUUAGAUAAUCAAUCAUAUCCUGACACACUAGAAAUAAUAUUCUAUAUUGAACUUCUCAUUACUUUUUCUAUCAAAUUGUUGACUAUACUCUUACAUACAUGGUACGAUAUAAAAAAUUUCAAUAAAAAAAUAUAAAAUUAUUAAAUAUUAAAAUAAUAUAAUAUAAAUAUUUUUAAAAAAAUAAAAUUAAUAUGAACAGGGCUAACAUGAGUUUGGAUUAAUCUUAUGUAAAUAUAGACGGGUUUGAGCAACAUUUUAAGCCUAAAUUUUAGGCUGGGUCAGAUUUAGAUAAACAUAAAGUAAGUUAAUAUCAUGCUUAGACCCAACCAGUCUAUGAAUAUAUUUACUAACGAGGGACCUUUGUUUUGAAUUUUGUAAUAGCCUUUGUCCAUUGUCCCGAUUUCCAAGUAAAUGAACGUUGAGCUCCAUGCCAAUGGCAUCAAAAUAAUUAUCUCCAUUAACAACAAAAUAUAGUCCAACACAAGAAGGGAGUACUAGAAGAACAUAUUCUCCAUCUCAUAAACAUUUGAUAACAUCACUGUUGAAGCCUUUCAAAGCAGGGGAAAUCCAUAUAAAGUGUGAUAGAAAGCCCACUGUGACACAUUUAGCUUUCAAGCUUCAGAUUCCCUGUCUUACAAAAAUGACCAAAUAAUAUAUCACGUUUACAAUAUUAUCUGUCUUACAAAAACCAAAUAUCAGUGAACCACCAUCUUUGCCUAUCUUUUAAAGGGUUUCAUACAUGUGGUCUGAGCAUGACAAAAUAAGGGAUGCUCUGAAAUUUUGAUGAUGCAUCCAUCCAUGAUCACAGCAGUUGUGUACGAAAAUGAAAAACAACAUACUUUCUUUAGAAUGCAAAAAACUUGAUUAUAUUGAUAUGAAGCAGUAACCAAAAUGGUUAAAUGAAGUUUUUCAGUCAGUCACUUAGACACUGAGUUCAUUAAUGUCGUUCAAUCCACAUGAUCGAAAAAGCAGUUCCUCAUCAAGUGAAUUAAUGCAGCUCGAAAGUAGCUUUCAAAUGGAUGUAUCAUCUGAGAAUUUCCAAGAACUAGGAUGGCCAACUUUGAGAUCAGCAGACUAUAGUUUGUGGGAACACUGAGGCUGCAAGUUCAAAAGAAGUAUAAUCUCAAUGUCAUCAGUGUUUUACAAGUGAGAAAACCCCAAAUUGCAGGUCAGUGAACUCUCUUGUGUUAAUGCUUAAAUCUAGCUCUUUAACUACAUGCCGUACUGCGUAGUGUAUCCCUUCCUUAUCCUGAGAGGAUCAAUAAUAGACUGGUGACGACUCGUAUCCUUACACAAUAACAGGAAUCUGUCCACAAAGAUCAUAUGAAACUAUCAAGUAAAUUAAGACUUAUUCUUUUGAAAUACCAUUGGUCAAUAUUACAAUGGAAUGUCAAAUAUUUUCAACUAAAAUCCCAUUUCCAAGUACAAAGGUUAUAACAAUUGCAUUUGAAAACAUUGUCUUAAAAAAAAAUAGUUAAUAUAUUAUGGAAAAUUUUAGAAAGAUGAAGAGAAAGUCUAGGAUUGGCAGACCAAUGUCGAAAAGAAGGAUCGACUGACUAUACGGCAUAUUCCAAGUCCAUUCCAAAAUUAGUCUGUGCCAACCCAUAUUCUGAGAGCUAAGCAAACAUAUACGCAAAGGAAGCUUAGAAAUCAGAACAUGCAGAUGAAAACUGAACAUUCAAUUUGCUGAACAUCAAAUCAAAUAAGCUAAAAGGAAGGCUAGUUGAAUUCAUCCGCUAUUUUUGCCAAAUUAGUUUUCAAUGCCUGAAAAAUUGAAUACAAAUUAUAUAAGACUGAUUGCUAUUAUCUUGUUAUUCUGAGGACAAUCACAUAUGUGGAACUAUGGAACUAAAAAUGCUAUGAAAUUGCUUAAUGUUUAAAAUGGUUUCACACCUGUGGUUUAAGUGUGGAGAAACCAGUGCCAGGUUUUGCUGCUUUACUUUCAAUCUAAUUCCCUUGGGAUGACUGUUUUAUACUGAAAACGGACAUAAGGGAUGUGGGCAAUCUUGGACCACUGUCGACCUUUACCCCUACUGCACCCUUCUUCUAGCAACGGGCAAUUGAAAAUAUGUAGCUGCUCAAGUGAGAGAAGCAUAUCUUUUUCUGGAAGAGAUGUGAGUUUUGGACAAUUACUUAUUUCCAAUUCGUGAAGUGAAGUGAGGUGUUGAAAGCCCUUGGAGCACAUGAAUUCCAAAUUCUCAAAAUUUUCAAUGCAGAUAGAUGUUAGAGAAGGAGGCAGCAUUCUUCCUAUCCCUUCUUCUGGAAAUGACACCACACGUGAGCAUCCCUCACCGCCGAUAUUGAGCUCUUGAGUGGAGGUGAGUCUAUUUAAUCCCCAUUCAACAAGUGAUGUAUACAUUUUGGGUCCAUUUGAGAUUUCAAGUGAUGUGAGAUUCGUAGGGAAACCCUCUUCUGGGAAUGACACCACACGUGAGCAUCCCUCACCGCCAAUAGUGAGCUCUUGAGUAGAGGUGAGUCUAUUUAAUCCCCAUUCAACAAGUGAUGUAUAUAUUUUGGGUCCAUUUGAGAUUUCAAGUGAUGUGAGAUUCGUAAGGAAACCUCUUCUGGGAAGGAUAUAUCAGCUGAACACUAUAUAAAUAGUUAAAUGAAAAGACAAAAAGCAAACUCGUAAUAUUAUUUGUUAUCUUUUAAAUAAGGAUUUUUAUUUAAAGUUAUUUUUCAACCAAAUUGAUCUUUAGUUAAACUCGUGGCUUCAACUCAGUUAUAUAACUAUAUAUAGUAUAAUUAACAAACAAUAAAAUUGAAAUUGACAUACAUGUAUGCUGUGUGUAGCCUUAAAUACUCCUGUUUCAUGGUGUUAACCUCAAUUCCUUGCAACUUCUUUUUUUUAACAAAAAAAAAAGAAAAAUACGCACACACAAUAUUAGAAAUGUAAUUAUUAUUAUCGAUCGAGUCUUAAUUCAAUUGGCAUUAAUAUUAUUAUUUAUGCAAAGAGGAUAUCAAUAUAUAUAUAUACCUCAACUUGUUGCUCAUCAAAAGGGUGUUCUUGAGAAUGAUCUUCUUCCAUUCCUUUGCUGUACCUUGAAAGAGUGUAUUCUAUGCUACAUCCCUAAAAUGUCAUGUUUAAAAAAAUAACAAUAAAUUAAAAAUAAAAUUCUAACUCAUUAUUAUUGUUUGGACUUGAGCCGAUCAAAUUUAUGACAAGUUAUUCUUAACUUAUCGGAACUAUUUAUAUAUCAUUUUUGUUUUAAUAUGAGCAUGUGUUGUAAAAGUAUUAUAUAUAUAAUAUACUUGCAAAUAUUUCUUAAUUAUAAUAUGUAAAUAUAAAUUUUAAAAUUAUUAAUUAAUUUCAAUAAUUUAAUGAAUGGUUAUAUAUUAUUUUUAAAAGCAAUUAUAUAAGAAAGUAGUUAAGAAAGAAAAGAGAAAUAUUAAAAAUCCCUUUAUAGGAAUUAAUACUCAACGAUACAAGAAUAUAUUAAUUGAAAUGAGUCAAAACUCAAUGAAAUUUUAAUUGAUGUGAAACUUAAACUAUUUUAUUCUAGUUCAAUAUUGAGACGAUUCAUAACGAUUGAUACAACCAGUAUCGAAACUACCGACUACCAUACUACAAAGCGAAAAGAAAAUAAUGGAAAUCAAUCAAAUUACAACUCAACUUACUUUCAUGCUUAGAAAAAAAACAGUUCUAAAAAAUAAUCAUCCAAGAAAAUAAAUAUAUAUAAGUUUUAUAGACCGUUACAAACUAAUAUACACUCAUAUAAGUCGAUAUUAAUCAAAACACAAUAAAUUUUUAACUGAAACGAAACUUAAACUACUUUAUAUUAAUUCAAUAUUGAGACGAUAGCCAAUUAUUAAGAAAAGAAAAACAAUGGAAAUCAAUCAAAUUAUAGGUCAACUUACUUUCAUGCUUACAAAAGAAAUUGCUAAAAUUAAAAAUUGAAAAAAUCCCAGAUUUCGAUUAUUAAAAAUCAUCUAUAAUAUAUAUAUAUAAAUAAGUAUUAUACUAUAUUAUAUACCUAGUGCUGGACCAUUGAUAGACCUUGCCGCUGCUUGAAAAAAUAAUAACCCCAACCUCUGCAUCACAUAAAAUGGACAAUUCUUUAGCUUUCUUCAACAACCCAUUUUGCCUCUUUGAAAACGUUACUUGCUUGCUAUUCAAAAUUUCAAUCUUUUUUAUUUGAAUUUUCCCUCUACCCAUCUGAAAAUUUUCUUCUUUCCUUUACUUUUUCCCGGAAAAUUUUUAAAGGAAAAGUUAAACCCCAGAUUUUUUUUUUCUUAAAUUUUGAAAAAAACCAAAGGUUUUUAUAACAACAAACCGAUCAAAGAAAAUAAGGCAAAAAAUUUAGGGGAUUGUAAAAGGAUUCUUUUUUUAAGAGAAAAGAAAAUAAGUAAGUAAUGUUUAUAUAUAACAAUGGUUUUCUUAAAUGGAAAUGGAAAAUGAUAUGGAAAAAGAAAAUAUGUGACCAAAAUUAGGGUGAAAGCUUGAAAGGUGACAGAUUUGAUACUAUAUCUACCAAUUAUCCAACUAUGGAAACUCUAUUUAUUAUAAGUUUAGUUUAUUUUUUCUAUUUAUCUUAAUUUCUCUACCUUUUUACUCUCCUGUUUUUGGUAUUUCAACUCAAAAUGGAUUUUAUUUUUGCUUUGGGUUUCUUUUUUUUAAUAUAAAAAGUGGUUUUUAAUUAUUUAUAUAUUAUUAAUGUGUUUUAACAAUUUUUGUUAGUGAAUAUUGAUUUUUUUUUUGUGAAUUACAAUAGGAGGGCAAAGCCCUAAUAACAACACGACUAGUGCAAUUCGAAUGUAGGCCACACUUGAGACGUUGAACACAAGUAUUUCACGAGGACAUAUAACACAUGUUUUUUGUUUUUAAAUUCAUGGCUAAAAUAAUAAAAAAAACCUCUUUAUUUUAUUGUAUUCAAAUAAUAAUAAAAACCAUGGUUUUAGUCGCACCGGCCGGUGCCGCCGUUCUACUGUUAUAGCGCAACAAGCAACACCCUUUUCUAUACUAAUGAAAAUUUUGGCUUGUACCGUUCGCAUUGACCGAAACAUGGUACACUUGCUGCUGCAUGAAUAGUGUUAAAAAAUAUAAAACUUUUAAUUGUAUGUUUUCUAUUAGACUAAUAUUUAAUUGAAAUGUAUUGACCAAUAAAAAAAAUAUUACACUAGAAAGUAAAGUUUAACAUUUAAAAUUUUUUUAGAGCAUACUUUUUCAUUUAAAAUAUAAAAAUUAAAAUAUAAUAAAAAAACUCACUCACCUCGUUAUCAUAGAAAAAUAUCCACUCGCCCUUAAACUUUUUUUAUUGAAAAAAUCCUCUCAUCCUUCGAUUUUUUUUUCUUCUUAAUUUUGAAUUUAUUAAAUGAUGAGUUUUUACUUGUGGAGUUUAUUAAUCAAUAUUUUAUAUAAUUGAUGAAUAGUUUUAUAUUAGAAAUUUAUUUAUAACAAUUUAUUUGAUAUUUGUAUAUUUAUUUAUAUAAAUAUAUUAAAUAUUUUAAAAAAUAUCUAUAAAUUCAAAGUGGUACAUAAAAUAGACUAGUAUCAAUACAUACCGGUUCUCAUAGAAAAGUAGUACUUACACCAAUGUGGUAAUGGCUACCUUGAAAGCAAGUAUGUGGGUGGCUAUAAUGUUUGAUGCUUUAUUUUCUUUGAAUAUUUUGCUUUGAUGCUUUUGAUAUGUGCUGAUCUUUGAGUGUAACCUUUGGGAUAUAUAUGGCCAUCUGAAUUUUUAUGAUUUGCUAUGCAUUGAUUUUGGUUGUUUUAUUAAUAAAUUUAUGUUUUGGAUUGAGAAAAAGAAUAAGAAAUUCAAAACACAAAAAAGAAAGUAGAGAAAGUGAACAUAAUAAUAUACGUGGUUCGCGAAUAUUCCCUACAUCCACGGGCAGAACCAAAAACGAAAUUCACUACUAAAAAUUGGAGAUUACAAUAGAAUUACAUCAUAAAAAUAAAAUACCUUGCCAAUAACUAUCCACAAACUUUGAAUGGAUUCAUGGUCUUAGAAAUUCGAAAAACUAAGAUGGACAUCUUUGAGAUUGGACAGAACAAUAUUUUGGGAACUCUGUUAUCUUACAUGUGUUAAAUUGAGCUCUCUAAUACCAUGUUGUAACGUGUACUGUAUCCCUCCAUUCAUCCUGCAAGGAUCAAUACCAUGUCUACAGUGAUGACGAAAUCUGUUGGCACUGAUAUCCUUAUGCAAUAACAGAAAUCUAUCCACAAAGAUCAACAAACUCUCACGUAAAAGACUUGUUCUUCUGAAAAACCAUUGGUUAAUAGUACUACGAAAUGUCAAAUAUUUUUAACUAAGAUCCCAUUAUCAUAUACCAAAAUAGCUUAGAUAUUGGAAGAUGCAAAUGAAAACAGGACAUUCAAUUUGCUGAAUAAAUGUUGCAGAGAAUUGACUAACCGCUUUACUAAAUCAAAUAAGCUGAAGCAGAUGAGUUGAAGUUCACUAUUUUUCGCCAAUUUAGCCUUCAAUGCCUGCAAAAAUUGAAUACAAAAUAUAUAAGAUUCAUUUCUGUUAUCAUGCUGUUCAUGAGGUCAAUCAGAUAUAUAAAAAAUAAAGCUAUGAAAUUUAUAAAUGCUUAAAAUCCAUUUCACACCUGUGGUUUGAGUGUGGAGAAAUCGAUACCAGAUUUUGCUGCUUAACUUUCAAUUUAAUUCCCUCGGGAUGACUGUUUUAAAAUCAAUUUUAACAAAAGGUAUGUGGGAAAUCUUGGACCACUCUCGUCCUUUACCCCUACUGCACCCUUCUUCUAGCUAGCAACGGGCAACGCCAAAUAAAUAGACGCUCAAGCGAGAGAAGCAUAUCUUUUUCUGGAAGAGAGGCGAGCUUAGGACAAUCAUAGAUGGCCAAUCGUUGAAGAGAGGUGAGGUGUUGUAAGCCCUUGGAGCACAUGAAUUCCAAAUUUUCAAAUCUAUGGAUGCUGAUAUCGGUGAGAGAAGGAGAAGCAUCAUUCCUAUCGCUUCUUCUGGAAAUGACACCACAUGUGAGCAUCCUUCACCGCUGAUGUUGAGUUUUUGAGGAGAGGUGAGUCUGUAAAAUCCCCAUUCAACAAGUGAUGUAUAAAUUUUGGGUGCGUUUGAGAUUUGAAGUGAUGUGAGGUUGGUAGGGAAACCCUCUUCUGGAAAGGAUAUGUCAGCUGAACACUUCCACACUGCUAAUUCUCGAAAGGAGGUGAAGUUGUUGAUGCACUUGGUAAGGGCUCUAAAAUUUUCACAACCCCCAAUUGAGAGAACUCUGAGAUUUGUGGUGGGCAACCCACUUUCUUCCAAUGAAACAAGAUUUGGACACCUAAAUAAUCGAAUCUCCUGAAGAUGGCUGAGCUUGUCUAAUCCCCGAGGUAAUGAUUUAAUUUUUUCAGCAUCAUGAAUGACAAUGCUUUCGAGAUCAGUGGUUUCAAGGAAGUCUUGGGCUAUGCAUUCCAACAUUGGACAAUCCCCGAUAAAUAACUGUUUAAGCAUUACGGGUAACUUGGCAUUUAAAACUAAGCUACUUAGCUUUGAACAACAUCGAAUUUUGAGAUGUUGAAACCGAUUGCAUAUAUCGUCCCUUGAUGAUAACCAUAUUAGAGAUGGACAGCAGCUUAUAUCUAAGCGCUCAAGAAGACAAGUGUUGGUACUCAUACUCUUAUUAGUAUUUUCUUUUUCAUCAACCAAAUAUUGCAAAUUCACGCAAUUCACAAUCCUCAGCUCUUUUAAAGCAGGGGGAAAGUUACUCUCUGCAAAACAAACCAAGCCGGGACAGUCUCCAAGUGUUAUUCUUGUAAUGAAUGGGAAAGCAUGUAAGGCUUCUGGUAGUCUACUGAGCCUUUCACAAUCUCUUAUAAACAGAGAUUCAACACCUGGAAUCUUGUCAAGUUGCAAUCUCUCCUCCUCUGCUGCCAAAGAGACCAAUUGGGGACAACUGACAAUCUCAAUGAAUCGGUGCCCGACUAAUCUUAACCCAAUUUGCGAUAAAGAUCCCAACUCCCAACCAGAGAUCUUAAAUGUUUCGGAGUUUGCAAAUCUCAAAAGUAUCCUCUCUGCCGAAAUAUUACACUUUGAAAUAUUUGAAAGAGACGCAUGUUUCAAAGAGGUAACCUUCUGUACAGACAAAGAACCUUCAUCCACCAAUUCUUCACACCCUGCAAUGCUUAAUUCACACAGCAAGGGAAAACUUGAAAUUGAAACUACCAGUCUCUGACACUCAUAGAUUUCAAGUUUCUGCAAGGAUUGAAGGAUGGUUGGCAACCUUCCCAACAAUAGAGGACAUUUUGUGAUUGAAAGAAAACGAAGGCUGGGGAAUUUCGAUACUUGCUCAUCAUCUUCACAAAGGUCCCACUCCUCCCAAUUCAGCAUAUUGUCAAAGCACAAAGAUUCUAAUGAUGCAAAAGCAUUUGAUUGAUUUUCUCCUAACAACUCAGCACCAAUCUUGUGUACUUGACGCAAACCACCAAUUGAAAGAUCUUUUAACAACAGCAACCUUCCAAUCGAUGGUAGAGAUUUGCAAUUUUGACAGUUGCGGAGCUCCAAUGACAACAUAUUUUUGAAGGAAGAAUCUGCAAUCCAAGUAGAGAAUUUUGCACCACUAAAAUUCUGAAUGACGAGUUGCUCAAGCUUUUUCGAAGGAUGAAGAGAAUCUAACACCCAUUCUUCAACUUCUUUUUUCCUUGUGUCCCAACUCCAUUUCAAUACCAAUCAAUCAAUCCCCUGCUUCUCAUUUAACUUGGCUUCCCCUGCAUCUUCAUUAACAUUCUCCAACCCAGAAAGACAAAAAUAACCUUUGAGGUUUGACAAAUAUUUCAAUUCUCUGAUACUAUGUCCAUCACCUUCCCCUAUGAUAAAAUUUGAUAACCUUUGAAGAUUCGUUAGCUUAUCAAUUCUGAAAGGAAUCCUUUCUAUUAAGUCAGCAACUUUGAUAUUGAGAUAAUGUAAGUUGACAAGAUUUCCCAUCUUUGAAGGUAACCUUUGAAGCUUCCAACACCGUCUCAAUAAUAAAGUUUCCAAAUGGUAAAGAGUGCACAAAGAAUCAGGUAGGCAUUUGAUAUGGGUGUUAGAAAAAUUCAAGUAGCGAAGAUGUUUUAAAUUUUCAAAAACAUCAGGUAACUCUUUUAUCUUAUACCCACUCAAACAAAGCACCCCUAAGUAGCCAAGUCUUGGCAACAGAUCAAGCAAAACAACAUUAGUUAAAAAAGGCCCCCAAACAUAAUUUCUAGAAAAUAUUAAGGGUAGAAAAGUACGUAAUGAUUUCACUUGAUCAAAUGCUUCGAACUUCUUCACUGUGUCAUAUUCUCCAGCAAUAUAAGAAGAAUGCCGAGUGCGAUUCGAUAACUUUUGUUGCAUAUCACCCUCCUGUUUGGAGCAUAUGUCUCCCGCAACUACUUGAGCUAAAUCAUUGAUGAAGUCAUGCAUUACAAAUCAGGACUCAUCUUUACUGGAUGUCUGAAAAAAUGACCUUGACACUAGAUCUUGAAAAUAUUGAUUUCCAAUAUCUUUAACUUGAGGCAUAGCCUUUUGUUGCAAGAGACCUUCUGCUCUCCAUAACAAGAUAAUUUCUUCUUUUUCAAAUUCAUAAUCUUUAGGAAUUAUGGAGCAAUAUGCAAAACAUCGUUUCAAGUAUGACGGAAGAUGAUGGUAGCUUAAUCGCAAAGCUGGAAUUAUGCCACACUGCUCUUCUGGUAAGUUCCAUAUCUCACUCUCAUAUAUUCUUUCCCAUUCUCGAUGAUAUUUAACUGUGCGUAGCAAGCUUCCAAUAGCUUUUGCAGCCAAAGGUAAGCCAUUGCACCUUCUAAUAAUUUUCUCUCCAAUUUCUUUGAACUGGGGAUGUCCAUCGAAAUUUCUUGCUUUUAAUGCAUGCUGUGUAAAUAUCGAUAAACAAUCAUCAUCUGAUAGUUUAUCCAAAUGAAAAACUUUGAGGGGAUCCACAAUAGAUGAAACAAUUUGAAGACGAGUGGUUACAAUGAUAGUGGUCCCUGCUCCAAACGGAGACCGUAAGAUGGUCCAAUCAUUAUAAUUCUCGUUCCAAAUGUCAUCUAAAACAAGCAAGAAUCUUUUCCCAGACAACUUCUCCUUCAACUUAACUUGAAGUAAAUCCAAGUUACUGUAAUCACAUGACUCAGAAGUGAUGGACUGUAAAAUUGCCUUUGUUAUAGCAAUUGCAUCAAAAUUAUCAGAAACGCAUACCCAGGCCUUGAGAUCAAAAGACUCGUUGAUGGUGGCGUCAUUGUAAACAAGCUGAGCAAGAGUUGUUUUACCCAUCCCUCCCAUACCGACGAUGGAAAGGACUGAAACUCCAUUGUAGUUAUUACCUUUGAGCAACUCAAUCAUUUCUGUCUUCUCCUUGUGUCUGCCAACAUACUCCACAACUCCAUCCAGUACGGAAGUUGGUUGCAGCCUGGGUUGCUUUCCCUUGGAGGUUACAGCUUGAGACAAAAUCUCACUCAACCCCAAACUACUUGUUGAAGCCGUGGCCUGCAUUGCAACAAAGAACCAACAGCAACAAAUUGGUCAAAAGACCAGCAGCAGCAGCAAAUUGUACAAUUUUAGCUGCUAUACUAUUUUGUAGCAAAGAAAUGGAGUUGGUUCAGUUAUAAAAUUAUUUUUUGAAUACUUGUUCCUAUGGAACUUAGCCUAAAUCUUUGUAAUGAGUUAGCUAAGUUAGUAGGAAAGAUUGACUGAUGUAAUAGCUGGUAUGCCAGCUUUCUUUUGUAUACAAGUUGCUAUAUUUUUUAGUAAGUAUUAAGUAAGAGCAGUUAAAUUAGUAGGUAACUGUCAAAUACUUUUGUAACCUUCAUAUAUUCAAAAUUUGAAUGAAACUAUGAUGACUUUUCAUUUUACAAAUUUUCUUGCUGAGUUCUUUUCUUUUGUUUUUCUUUCAUUCGUUUUUUACUUUCUUUGCUACUGCCAUUUAUCCAACAAAUGGUAUCAAGAGCUUUCAGUCUUUGAGGGCCUUGGUUGUACACUGUCACUAAGCAAAUUGUGUUUGAAACAAAAGAAGAAGAGGUUGUUUUGCUUGCUGAAAAAUGAGUUUUACACCACCUCUUCCACCUGUCUUUGCUGGAGAAAAUUACAACAUCUGGGCAGUGAAAAUGAGAACAUACAUGCAGGCACACGACCUGUGGAAUGUUGUUCUCAAUGACACUGAGCCACCACCACUAAGAGCCAACCCGACUAUAGCCCAGAUUAGGCAGCACAAUGAAGACUGUGCCAAGAAGUAUAAGGCUAUGUUGUGCCUUCAAAGUGGAGUUUCUGAUGUUAUUUUCACAAGAAUAAUGGCUUGUGACUCUCCAAAGCAGGCCUGGGACAAACUCAAGGAGGAGUUUCAGGGGUCUGACUAGACCAGGCAACAGCAGCUGAUCAACAUGAGAAGAGAUUUUGAAAAUCUCAAAAUGAAGGACUCAGAAACCAUCAAGCAGUAUGCUAACAGAAUCAUGGCUACUGUCAACAACAUAAGGCUGCUUGGGGAAGAAUUCAGUGACCAAAGAGUGGUUGAGAAGGUCAUAACAACCUUGCCAGAGAAUUAUGAAGCAAAAAUUUCUUCUCUGGAAGAUUCAAGGGACUUGUCAACAAUCCCUUUGACAGAGCUUAUAAAUGCUCUCUAUGCUCAAGAGCAGAGAAGGGCAAAUAGGCAGGAGGACCACUAUGAAGGAGCUUUUCAGGCUAGAAGCAGAGAAAGCUCAAGUGCAAACUUAAAUGCCAAAGGCAAGAAGCCCUGGACUGAGAAGAAGAAGAAAGAACCUGUCAAAAGGAAGUUCCCACCUUGUGUCCAUUGCAAGAAGACUACUCAUCUUGAGAAAUACUGCUGGUACAGACCAGACAUUCAAUGUAGAGCCUGCAAGCAAUUUGGCCACAUUGAAAAGGUCUGUAAGAGCAAGCGAAAACCACAACCACAAUUUCAAAGCCAAGCUCAAGCUGCAGAAGAGGUUGAAUCACCAGAAGACCAUGUCUUUUCAGCAUCAUGCUUUGCAAGCUCGAGCAAAGUUAGUAAAAUAUGGCUGAUUGACAGUGGAUGUACCCACCAUAUGGCUUCUGAGAAGAGUAUAUUUAAGGAGCUUGACACCACCUUCAAGUCCAAAGUCAAAAUUGGCAAUGGUGAGCUGCUGGAGGCAAAAGGGAAAGGCAAGGCUUUGAUAAGCACUAAGUCAGGUAUUAAAACCAUUUUAGAGGUUCUCUAUGUACCUGACAUUGACCAAAACUUGCUAAAUGUUGGCCAGCUAUUGGAUAAGGGUUACUCUCUGAUUUUUGAAGGCAAAAACUGUUUGAUCAAAAAUGCUGCUGGUGAAGUGUUGACUACAGUGGCUAUGCAAGACAGAACCUUCAUUGUGGAUGUGAAUCAACUGCAAGCCAAGGCAUACGCAUCUCAGUCUGAUGAGACAGACUUGUGGCACAGGAGGAUGGGGCAUGUGAACUACAAUUCACUGAACAUACUGCACAAAAUGGAUUUGGUCAGUGAUAUGUCCAAAAUUGAGCCAAAGGAUGCUGUAUGUAAGGUCUGUCAGCUAGGCAAACAGACCAGAUUACCCUUUCCAGUCAACAAGGCAUGGAGAGCACAAGGGAAGCUUCAGCUUAUUCAUACAGACAUCUGUGGACCAAUGAAGACUACCUCCUUAAAUGGCAGCAGGUACUUUGUACUCUUCAUUGAUGAUUAUUCAAGGUUCUGUUGGGUAAAUUUUUUGAAGCAUAAGUCAGAUGUUUAUGACUUUUUCUGCAAAUUUAAAGCCUUGGUCGAAAACCAAGCAAAUUGCAAACUAAAAUGUUUGAGGUCUGACAAUGGUUCUGAGUAUGUAUCUCAGAAGUUUCAAAAAUUGUGUGAUGAUGCUGGAAUUCAACACCAAUUGACUACUGUGUACACACCACAGCAAAAUGGUGUUUGUGAAAGGAAAAACAGAACAGUCCUUGAUAUGGCUAGGUGUUUGUUAUUUGAGGCUAAAAUGCCUAAUGUUUUUUGGGCUGAAGCUGUGAAUACAGCUAUUUACCUGUUGAAUAGGUUGCCAACUAAUGCAGUCAAAGGAAAAACUCCCUUUGAAGCCUGGUUUGGACAGAAACCAUCUGUCUCUCAUUUGAAGGUAUUUGGCUGUCUAUGUUAUGUGUUGGUACCUGAGGAGAGAAGAACUAAGUUAGACAGGAGGUCCAUGCCUGGGGUGUUUGUUGGCUACAGCAAUGUGAAGAAAGGAUACAGAGUCUUUGAUCCACUGACCAAGAAGGUUGUAGUGAGCAGAGAUGUGAAAUUCAGUGAAGCAAGUAGCUGGAAAUGGGAUGGAAUUGAAGCAAAUUUGCCAGAUGGAGAAGAGAUUGAUGUUGAUCUGCAGUAAGCUGAAAAUGAAGAAGUAACUGAAAAUGGCUAUGAUGAUGAACCUGUUCGAGGCACUAGGACAUUAACAGACAUCUAUGAGAGAUGUGCAGUAACCAUAGUAGAGCCUUCAUGUUUUGAAGAAGCUGCAAAAGAAAAGUGCUGGCAGGAUGCUAUGGAAACUGAAUUUAAAAUGAUUCAGAAAAAUGAUACAUGGGAGCUUGUGGAUAGACUUGAAAACAGAAGAAUCAUUGGUGUCAAAUGGGUCUUUAGGACUAAAAACAAUGCUGAUGGUACUUUGAACAGACACAAGGCCAGAUUGGUUGUAAAAGGUUAUAGUCAGCAGCAAGGGGUUGAUUUUUCUGAGACUUUUGCACCUGUUGCAAGGUUGGACACUAUCAGACUGCUGCUUGCUUUGGCAGCUCAAAAGCACUGGAAGGUGCACCAUUUAGAUGUUAAGUCAGCCUUUCUAAAAGGCUUUCUUAAUGAAGAAAUAUUCACUGAGCAACCUGAGGGUUUUGAGGUCCCUGGUGAAGAACAGAAGGUUUACAAGUUGAAAAAGGCCUUAUAUGGCCUAAAACAGGCUCCAAGAGCCUGGUAUGAGAGGAUUGAUGGCUACUUAGCAAUGCUCGGGUUCACAAAGAGUAUCAGUGAGCCUACACUCUAUGUUAAGAAGGAUCAGAAGGAAACUUUGCUAAUUGUUUCCUUGUAUGUUGAUGAUCUGCUAGUCAUUAGCUGUAAAGAUGAACUGGUAGAAGACUUUAAGAAGCAGAUGCAACAUGUCUUUGAGAUGACUGACCUUGGUCUAAUGACCUAUUUUCUUGGUAUGGAAAUCAAACAAGGAAGUGAUGGUAUUUUCAUAAGUCAACAAACAUUUGCUUCCAAGGUGCUUGAAAAAUUUUGCAUGUUGAAAUGCAAAUCAGUCACUACACCAGUUGCAUUGGGGGAAAAAUUAUCAAGUGUCAGUGAGCAUGAUCGAGUAGAUGAGAGAGCAUAUAGAAGCUUAAUUGGUUGUUUGCUUUAUUUAACAGCAACUAGACCAGACAUUGUCUAUACUGUUAGUCUACUUUCAAGGUUUAUGCACUGCAGUAAUGUGGCACAUUUGAAGGCAGCAAAAAGAGUGUUAAGGUAUGUCAAAGGAACCAUCGAUGCUGGUGUAAAGUUUUGGAGGGCAAAUGAGCUGAAACUCUUAGGCUAUUCUGAUAGCGAUUGGGCAGGGUCAGUUGAUGACAUGAGGAGCACUUCAGGUUAUUUUUUCACCUUAGGCUCGAGUGUUUUCAGCUGGAGUUCGAAGAAGCAACAAACUGUUGCACAAUCUACAGCAGAGGCUGAGUAUAUCUCAGCUGCAGCAGCUGUGAACCAAGCCAUUUGGCUUAGGAAGAUUUUGGAUGAUUUGAAUGAAAAUCAAGCUCAGCCUACUGAGAUUAGAGUGGAUAAUCAAUCAGCUGUGGCCAUAGCCAAGAAUCCAGUAUUCCAUGGUAAGACUAAACACUUCAAAAUCAAAUUCCAUUUUGUUAGAGAAGCUGAGCAAUCUAGGGAGGUUAGCUUAGUUCAUUGCAGCUCAGAAAUUCAGCUAGCUGACAUUUUAACUAAACCAUUGGGAGCCAACCGAUUUAAUGCUUUGAAGGAAAGGAUUGGUGUUUGUUGCAUACAGACCAAGGAGGAGUGUUGAAGCCGUGGCCUGCAUUGCAACAAAGAACCAACAGCAACAAAUUGGUCAAAAGACCAGCAGCAGCAAAUUGUACAAUUUUAGCUGCUAUACUGUUUUGUAGCAAAGAAAUGGAGUUGGUUCAGUUAUAAAAUUAUUUUUUGAAUACUUGUUCCUAUGGAACUUAGCCUAAAUCUUUGUAAUGAGUUAGCUAAGUUAGUAGGAAAGAUUGACUGAUGUAAUAGCUGGUAUGCCAGCUUUCUUUUGUAUACAAGUUGCUAUAUUUUUUAGUAAGUAUUAAGUAAGAGCAGUUAAAUUAGUAGGUAACUGUCAAAUACUUUUGUAACCUUCAUAUAUUCAAAAUUUGAAUGAAACUAUGAUGACUUUUCAUUUUACAAAUUUUCUUGCUGAGUUCUUUUCUUUUGUUUUUCUUUCAUUCGUUUUUUUCUUUCUUUGCUACUGCCAUUUAUCCAACACUACUUCUUCGUGUAGUCAAACUAUUCAGUGAAUCAGUGAUGUCUUUCACCUUCGUGAUCAUAGAAUUAUUAAACUGAAAAGAAGUGGGAGGGAAAAUACUACGAAUAAUCCUUUCAGGAAUGAAUUUCCGGAUCUUACUAGGUCUGGCUUGAGCUUGAGUGUCUUGGAGAUUGAGGCGUAACUCUUCAUAAGCAAACUCGUCCAAGAUGUCAUCCACAUCGUAAGCCAAGUCCUGGAGAUCCUCCAACCAUUUCUUCACACCCAUGUUCUUGAUCUGCUUCUCCUCUGCAUCGUCCAACACUGCUUGGAUAUCAGGCAAUAUGGACUGCCACUGCUUGAGCUGCUGGUGGAGUUGGUAGUGAUCAGCAACAAAGUUGAGUGCAGAGUCAAGCGAUUUGCCCACCAACAGGUCCAGGAACCCAGAAAGAGCAGCCUCUCCAAUGACAGACAUGGUGGAAUUGUGAGAAAUAAGGUGACAAGAGAAAUGAGCAAAGCCAAAAUGGAAAGCCAGGGAACAAAAAAGAAGGAAAGGGAAAUGGAAUCUGCAAAAUUAGAGAAAGUUGAAGAAAUUGGCACAAUAUCCUUGAAGCAUGUAAUAUAAUAAUUCAGACUAUGAGCAAUGAGUUGGAAGUCACUGGGUACAGAUAAAGAAGCUGCUUUUCGUGUUAAUGGGAAAGGAAAAAUGGAAAUGAUUUGAAUUUUGAUGCUCUUCUUUUCUCUUACUUUUGGUCAUUAUCCUAAAUUGACCUUCACCGUAUAUGUAAUUUAAUUAAGCAUCAAAGUAUUAUAUUCCUCACAACUUUAUCGCCAAAAUAUCGCCAACACCAAUACUCUAAAUUUUUGAAUCACAAAUAUUUACAUUAUUUAGCAUAUAGAAAAAAAUCCAAAAUUAAAUGAUAAUUUUUACAAUUUUAUAAUUUUAAUAGUCUGUAUCUUUAUAAAAUUUAAAAGAUUAUAUCAUAUUUUUAUCAUAUUUAGGGGAGCAAAGUAUAAUUUUAUAUUUACUAAUUUAAAAUUUUAAAAUAUUUAAAGAGUCUAAAUGAAAAAUUUUUCAUUUUAGAGGACCUUGCCAACCCCCUAGCUACGCCCGAGAUUGGUUGUAGCUAUAUUGUUAAUUAGCUUACUAUUUUACUAUUUAUAGUAUUAUUUAAACUUAUGACUAGUUGAUGUCACGAAUUAAUCGGGUACCAACUUGGUUAAAGAAAAUAUGAAAAUGUCACUCUAGUCUUUUUAUUAUAAAUAAAAAUAAAAAUUUGUGCAUGGGAUUUUGAACCCAUACCAACUAUAUUAAUAAAUUAUUAAUUUACCAUUCAACUAAAACUUUAAUAUUUUUAUACAUUUUAAUUUUAUUGUGCACACUUUAUUGUUAAUUAAUUUCAAACCUUAUGCAUUAAUUAUUUAUUGCAUGUUAUAUUCAAACGCACACUUAUAUUCUAAAUAUAUGAUUCCCGAACAUACAUGUGUGAUAAGUAUACUAAUUGUAACCUGUCUUCCUAAUUGUUGUCCUAAUUUAUGAUUUGCUUUCUUACUAGAUCUGUGAUACGAGCCAAGGAUGUGACACUCAAAGGGUUGUCUUUUCUAGUGGUUCAAUCACUCGAAGCAAGGCACGUCAAUUAAAAUCAAAGAUGAAUGCUUUUGUCCAAGACUUUGUUGCUACAAAUUUAAUUCAUCAUGUUCGUGACAUUGACAAAUACGGGAAUGCAAUUCACUGGACCAAUCUUGGAAUAGUGAAAGCCCAUAAAUUGGUGGAUUAAUCUUUUUUGUAUCUUAUUAUUAUUAUUAUUUACUUAAUUCUCAUUGGUUAGGACAUAUCAUUUAUGAGUUAAGUAAUUUUAUUGGUUAGGUUAUUAUUUAUUUAUUUUCUUAGAUAAUUUUAAAGAGUUUUAUUAGGAUUCAAUUACUUUUUAAAGAGUUUUUAUUAGGAUUCAAUUGCUCUUGAAAGAGUUUUAUUAGGAUUCAAUUACUCUUGUAAUUUGCCUAUAAAUAGGCUUGUUUGUUAUUAUUUAUUUAUUUUCUUAGAUAAUUUUAAAGAGUUUUAUUAGGAUUCAAUUACUCUUUAAAGAGUUUUUAUUAGGAUUCAAUUACUCUUGAAAGAGUUUUAUUAGGAUUCAAUUACUCUUGUAAUUUGCCUAUAAAUAGGCUUGUUUUCUACACAUUGGGGGAGGAAUAAAAGAAGAGCAUUUGUUUUCUUUCAAAUUUGUGUGAGGCAAAUUUUUGGGAGUAGAGUGAUUCUUCUCUUGCUAUUUAGUUUGGAGUUUGUUACUUUCGAGGGUAUUUCGGAGUUGCAAAUAUUCAAAUUUCUUUCCCGUUCAUCGGUGUUUCUAGAGGUUCUUCUUCUAGGGGUUUCGUAGGGAGCCGCUCAAUCAUUGCGUUUUUGGUUACAAGUUAACCAAGGGUUCUAUAGGGCAAAUCUAUCAUUAUUAUUAUUAUUAUUAUUAUUUAACUAAUUUUAUUUAUUCUCGUUUUUUUUAUUUCUAAUUUGUGUUUCUCUUGUGUCUAGAUCCGGGAUUCCGCAUCAAUCUGUUAGCCAAACUCAAAUUAUCUUCCUUUUAGAUCAAUUAAUUGACUUAAACCUAACUCAAUUACAUUUCUUUCUAGAGUGAUUAACUAAAAUAAUCGACCGAGAUUGUUUCUAUUAUUAUAUUUAUGAAAUCAUGAUGGUUUAGUUAUUGGUAUUUUUUGUUGGGGUUAGGUUAAUUUAAUUUUCAAUUUUUCUAAACUAAAAUUUACAUCUAGAUUUGAUGAUGAUUGAAAACAUUUCUGUCUUUUUGGGUUGAAAACAUCACUGGAAAUGCAAAAGGAGAGAAGGUGAAGCCUUUCAAAUUCUCCACAUGGCAAAUGGUGCUGACAUGUCAGAUGGGCCGCUGUGCCAUACUAUGUUAGAAAAAUUAUAAAAACAUUUUAAAAUUAAUAAAACAUAUAUAUACAUCUAGAAUGAAUCUGGACAAAUGGUUAUCCCAAUUCAAAUGAAUUUGGACAAAAGAAUAUAGCCUUUAUACCAAAGCAAUUAGUUUUAUAUUAGAGGUAUUAGAAUUCACGUUCUAUUUUGUUAAUCUACUUAUACAUGUUAUCUAAUAUGUUAAUUUUGUCUCAAAUCCGAAAAUAAUUGGUGCUCAAAAUGAUUCAAACCCAAGAUGACAUAAAUUUGAGAUGACCCUAUUUGAAAAACUUGAAUGGCAAACUCAAAUGGUCGUAACCCAAAAUGGCUCAAACAUGAAACAACUUAAACCCAAAAUUGACCCGAACCAUAAUGACUCUCUAUUUAUAGCAAUAAUAGAAAGACAAAAUAGUAAAUAUGCAAGGGCAAAAGAGUAAAAACCGUAGGGUUACCAUUUCCACGCAACAGUAAAAGAUAUAUUCUGUUGCCAAAUUUUUCGCAACCGUCAAAAAUCAAAAAAUGUUUUAAAGAAAUUAUUUUCUGGAAAAUAAUAUUGAUUAAAAUUAGAGAUAAAUUAUGGAUGAAAAUAUUGAAUUAUUUCAAAUGAUGAAGAGCAACUUUAAUAAUGUAGAGGGACUGGAUCUUGUGUACCUAGGAUGAUACUUCGAAGGCUAUUCUCAGAAGAGUCGAUCUGUAGCUCAAGUGGUACCAUAUAUCUCAACAAUUGACCUAUAUUCAAUAGGUUAAGGGUUCGAAUCUCAUCAAAUGUCGCCUCUUAGUAGUGAUUGUAAGUCCACAUACGGUCAAUGCACCCCUUUUUGUGAGUUGUACAUGGCUCUCCAAUGAUUGGGAAACAAAACCCUUUCACAGGUGACAAUACCUUCUGUUGUUGAGAGACUGGAUCGGCAUCCCCAAAGACGACACUUCAAAGACUUCUCUCGAAUAAGCCGUUCCCAUUAACAAAUAAAUAAUUAUUCUACACAACCCUAUUCUAUCUUUUAAAUUUAUUAUUUUGUCCCUUAAGAUAUCCAUUAAUCUUUUUAUGUAUUUCUAAUAUACAUCCUAUAUAUAUAUAGUAAAAUGAUAUAUAUAUAUAUAAUCUACACUAAAUAUGAGAAGAUUAUAAAUAUAAUAAUCUAUAAUUUUUAUUUAUAUAUGCCUUUUUCCAACUACGGCGUUCUGAUUAUUUUUUUUAAAUUCUUUUUCAUUUUUUGACCAGUCCUAUUUUAUGAAAAUUCAGAUGUGUAUAUGAAAAUAUAAUUUCAUAUAUUAUUUAUCAUUCACAUUCAAAUCCAAUUAACAUAAACUUGAAGAUUCAUUUCUAACUCAUUAGUUAUUAUUUGUAAUUUCCUCUUCAUUUUCUUUCCCAUUUUCGAUUGUGUAACACGCAUGAAUCUGGAUGAAAAAAAUACAAUAGUUUAGUUGAAAUGACAAAGUUAAGACUUUGCAGAUAUGAGUAUCUUAAUAAUUUAUUUUGGAUUUAAACUAUCUUUUUUAUAGAUUUUAUAUAAACACAUAAAUAAAAAGACAAAAAGCAAACUCAUAAUAUUAUUUGUACCUUUUAAAUAGAAACCACUUUUUUUGAAGUUAUUUUUUAACUAAAUUGAUAUUUAGUUAAACUCGUGACUCCAACUCAAUUAGAUAAUUAAAUAUAGUAUAAAUAACAAAAAAUAGAAUUGAAAUUGACAUACACAUAUGUUGUGUGUAGCCUUAAAUACUCCUCUUUCAUGGUGUUCACCUCAAUUCAGGGGCGGAGCUAAAAAUAUUUUUUAGAGGCUGAAAUAAAGUUGUAUAUUUUUAUGAUGCAAAAAUGAAAUUUUCUUAUUUUAAUAACUUAUAUCUUUAUAAUUUUUAAAGAAUCAUAUCAUUUUUUUCUCAUUCUUGAGGGGGUCAAAGUGUAAUUUUACCACAUACUAAUUUUAAAAAAUAAAUUAUAAAAGGACUAAAGGUGAAAAUUUUCAAUUUAGGGGGAUCGAGGCCCCUGCCAACCCCGUUGGCUCCACCCCUGCCUCAAUUCCUUGCAACUUCUGCUUAUUUAACAAAAAAAAUAGAAAUGUAAUUAUUAUUGUCGACUGAGUCUUAACUCAGUUGGCAUCAACAAUUUAAAAAAAAAAAUUUGGAACAUGCUUUUUCAUUUAAAAUAUGAAAAUUAAAAUAUAAGAAAAAAAACUCACUCACCUCAUUAUCAUAGAAAAGUCUUCACUCACCUUUCAGCUUUUUUUUUUUUAUUAAAAAAACCUCUCAUCCUUCGACUUCUUUUUUCUUCUUAAUUUUGAAUUUAUUGAAUGAUAAAUUUUUACUUGUAGAGUUUAUUAAUCAACAUUUUAUAUAAAUGAAUAUUUUUAUAUUUGAAAUUUAUUUAUAUAAAUAUAUUAAAUAUUUUAAAAAAUAUCGAUAAAUUCGAAAUUGUACAUGAAAUAAACUAGUACUAAUAUGUACCGAUUUUCAUAGAAAAGUAGUGCAUCCACCAAUGUGGUAAUGGCUACCUUGAAAGGAACUAUGUGGCAUACUUGUUUGCAAAUAAAUGGGUUAAACCAUGUUGAGUUAGUAUUGUGGGUAGCUAUAAUGUUUGAUGUUUUGUUUUCUAUGAAUAUUUUGUUUUGAUGAUUUUGAUUUGUGCUGAUAUUUGAGUGCAACCAUUGGGAUAUAUAUGGCUACCUGAAUUUUUAUGAGUUGCUAUACAUUAAUUUACUGUGGUUGUUUUAUUAAUAAAUUUAUGUUUUGGAUUAAGAAAAAAAAUUAAGAAAUUCAAACACAAAAAAGAAAGUAGGGAAAGUGAACACAAUGAUAUACGUGGUUCAGGAAUAAUCCCUACAUCCAUGGGCAGAACCAAAAAUGAAAUUCACUAUUAAGAAAUGGAGAUUACAAUGGAAUUACAUCAUAAAAUAAAAUACCUCGCCAAUAAUUAUCCACAAACUUGGAGCAAUUUUCUAAAUGAACAUCAGCUAUACACUUUCCGCGUUUUGAGAAAUACAUGGCAAUAAUAAAUAACAAGUGACCAACAAUCUCAAAAUGUCGAAAACAAUACUUUAUUUAAAGCAUCCUAGUCUCUUAUCAAUCAUCAAUGGAGACCUAAGACAGAUUCAAGAUUUGUGUAGAUAGAAAUAGUUGAUACUAAAAGCAUUAGAAACCAAACUUACAAUGUUGUGCCGUUGUUGUGCCCAUAAGCUGGUAUUGCCCUCUUUGGAUGCCCACCAUUCAAGGGUUUAUCACCCAAAGGUACGUACACCUCCCCAGUGGUACCAUUUGGCCUUUUAUCUGCCACCAAUUUCAUGGUUCCAAAAGCUGAAUGAAAGUACAAGGCUAAAUAAAUAGCAUAUUUGGCUCCACAACUACAACUUUGUACCAUGCACCAAAAUAUGAUCCAACACAAGAAAGGAAUGUCAGAAGAACAAAUUCUCCAUAUAACCUAUACUUACCCUAUCAUAAACAUUGAUAACAUCACAGUUGAAGCCUUUCAAAGCAGGGGAAAUUCAUAUAAAGAUUGGUAGAAAAUAUGCCAAUCUACCGGACCGGAAAGCUGAAAAGCAACAUUAAAAGAGAGCUGCAAUGAAACUAGUUCCAAACUGCUGCAGUAUAUAUAUCAUUUGAUUCAUUUAACUCAUACCUCAAAGUCAAAAGCAAGAGAGUCGAUAUAUAGCGAGUCACUUAGUCGCUGCUAUUUUUGGGAACACUGAGGCUGGAAGUGAAAACCCCAAAUUGCACCUCAGUGAACUCUGUUGUGUUUAUGUUAAAUUGAGCUCUCUAAUGCCAUGUUGUAACGUGUACUGUAUCCCUUCAUUCAUCCUGCAACGAUCAAUACCAUGUUUACAGUGAUGACGAAAUCUGUUGGCACUGAUAUCCUUAUGCAAUAACAGAAAUCUAUCCACAAAGAUCAACAAACUAUCACGCAAAAGACUUGUUCUUCUGAAACACCAUUGGUUAAUAGUACAACGAAAUCUCAGAUACUUUUAACUAAAAUCCCAUUCCCAUAUACCAAUUUCAUAGCAACUGCUUAGAAAUUAGAAGAUGCAGAUGAAAACAGAACAUUCAAUUUGCUGAAUAAAUGUUGCAGAGAAUUGACUAACCGCUUUACUAAACCAAAUAAGCUGAAGCAAACCAGUUGAAGGUCUCCUCUAUUUUUCGCCAGUUUAGCCUUCAAUGCCUGCAAAAAGUAAAUACAAAAUAUAUAACACCAAUUUCUAUUAUCGUGUUGUUCAUGAGGACAAUCAGAUAUAUAUAAAGAAAAGGUAUGAAAUUGAUAAAUGUUUAAAAUGCGUUUCACACCUGUGGUUUGAGUGUGGAGAAAUCGAUGCCAGAUUUUGCUGCUUAAAUUUCAAUUUAAUUCCCUCGGGAUGACUGUUUCCAUAUCAAUUAGAACACAAGGUAUGUGGGCAAUCUUGGACCACUCUCGUCCUUUACCCCUACUGCACCCUUCUUCUAGCAACGGGCAACGCUGAAUACAUAGAUGCUCAAGCGAGAGAAGCAUAUCUUUUUCCGGAAGAGAUGUGAGCUUAGGACAAUCAUAGAUUCGCAAUUUUUGAAGAGAGGUCAGGUAUUGAAAGCCCUUGGAGCACAUGAAUUCCAAAUUCUCUGUAUUUAUAUUCAGAUAUAUAUAGUGGGUAAUUAAGCAUUUUAUUGACAUACAAUAACCUUUUAUGUUAAAUGUUCGAAUCUGGACUUGAGCUAAGAAUAAGUGUCGAAUAUCGAUAUAUAUUAAUAUAGAUGUGAUGAAUUUUUUAAAAUCGAGAAACAUUCCUCUUAUAUAAAUAUUCAAAUUUGUGUCAAACACGCAUAUAAAACAUAAUUACUUUAGAAAAAAAUGGAUUAAUAUAGGGAUAUAAAAUGUACCUGUAAUCGAGAUCUUUUAAGCUGCUCCAUUAGAAUUUGCUCCUACAACAAUAAAACUUCAGUUUCUAGUGCUCACAAUUAGGCUCCUAAUGAGAUUAUUUUAAGUUUGUGUUUGUAGGAGAGUUACUAAACAUACUAAAUUUAUGUUUGUUUGGAGUUAAUAUUGAUUAAAAUUAGAGAUAAUUUAUGGAUGAAAAUAUUAAUUUAUUUCAAAUGAUGAAGCAUAGCAACUUUAAUAAUGUUGAGGGAUUCGACCGGCGCAUUCAAGGAUGAUACUUCGAAGAUUUCCCUCAAAGGAACUGAUCUGUAGCCAAGUGGUACCAUAUACCCCAAUAAUUGACCUAUAUUCAAUAAGUUAGGGGUUCGAAUCUCACCAAGGGCGAGACGCUCAAGUCGCCUAUUGGUGGGUGGUUGUACGUUCAUAUACGGUCAAGGCGUCCCUCUUUGUGAACCGUACAUGGCUCUCCGUAAAGUGGGGGACAAAACCCUCUCCUAAGGGACAAUACUUUUCAUUGUUGAGAGACUGGAUCGAUAUCCCCAAAACCGAUUUUUUGAAAACUUCUCUUGGAGAAGCCAAUCCCCCUCAACAAAUAAAUUACACUACACAACCCUAUUUCGUCUUUUAAAAUUAUUAUUUUGUCCCUUGGGAUAUAUCCAUUAAUAUUUUCUGUAUUUCUAAUAUACAUGCUAGAUAUAUAUACUAAAAUGAUAUAUUUAUAUAAUAUGAGAAGCUUAUAUAUAUAAAUAUAAUUUGUAGUAAUAUUAAUGCCAGUACCUUUUGUUGCUCAACUGAUGCCAUCCCUUCGUUUAAUUGAUUCUCCAGCUGUUUUAAUUCUUUGAAACUCAAAUCAUCUAGUUCCUUUCCAAUUAAGCCUCCUGCAAAUCACACCUCAAAUUUUACCUAAUCAAAUACUUAUUUAUUUAUUUAUUUUUUUACGUAUUAACAACUAUCACUCGUAUUUAUACAUAUUCAGAUAUAUGUAUGAAGAUGUAAUUUCACAUUUUAUUUACCAUUCACAUUCAAAUCCAAAUAACAUAGACUUGAAGAUUUAUUUCUCACUCAUUAGUUAUUAUUUGUAAUUUCUUUUAUUUUCCUUACCAUUUUUUUUAAUUGUGAACGCUUAGUUGAAAUGACAAAAUUAAGGUUUUGAAGAUACGGGUAUCCUAAUGAUUUAUUUUGAAUUUAAACUAUUUUUUUUAUAGAUUUUAUAUAAAUACAUAAAUGAAAAACAAAAAGCAAACUCAUAAUAUUAUUUGUUAUCUUUUAAAUAAAAACCCUUUUUUAAAGUUAUUUUUCAACUAAAUUGAUCUUUAGUUAAACUCGUGGCUUCAACUUAGUUAGAUAACUAUAUAUAGUAUAAUUAACAAACAAUAAAAUUGAAAUUCACAUACAUGUAUGCUGUGUGUAGCCUUAAAUACUCAUGUUUCAUGGUGUUCACUUCAAUUCCUUGCAACUUCUGUUUUUUUAACAAAAAAAAACGCACACACAAUAUUAGAAAUAUAAUUAUUAUUUUCGAUCGAGUCUUAAUUCAAUUGGCAUUGAUAUUACUAUCUAUGCAAAGAGGACACUAAUUAAUAUAUAUACACACCUCAACUUGUUGCACAUCAAAAGGGUGUUCUUGAGAAUGAUCUUCUUCCAUUUCUUUGUUGUAUCUCGAAAGAGUAUGUUCCAUGCUACAUUCAUAAAAUGUCAUGUUUAAAAAAAUAACAAUAAAUUAAAAAUAAAAUUCUAACUCAUUAUUAGGGUUUAGGUUUUGGGCUUGAGUCGAUCAAAUUUAUGACAAGUUAUUCUUAGCUUAUCGUAACUAUUUAUGUAUCAAUUUUUGUUUUAAUACGAGUAUGUGUUGUUCUGUUUUAGUAUAUAGUUUCGUAAGUAUCAUUUUUAAAUAUUUCUUAAUUAUAAUAUGUAAAUAUAAAUUUUAAAAUUAUUAAUUAAGUUCAAUAAUUUAAUAAAUGGUUAUAUAUUAUUUUUUAAAGCAAUUAUAUAAAAAAGUAGUUAAGAAAGAAAAGGGAAAUAUUAAAAACUCCUUUAUAGGAAUUAAUACUCACCGAUACAAGCAUAUAUUAAUUGAAAUGAAUCAAAACUCAAUGAAAUUUUAAUUGAAGUGAAACUUAAAUCAUUUUAUUCUAGUUUAAUAUCGAGAUGAUUCGUAACGAUUGAUACAACCAGUAUCGAAACUACUGACUACCAUGCUACAAAGCGAAAAGAAAAAUAAUGAAAACCAAUCAAAUUACAACUCAACUUACUUUCAUGCUUUAAAAAAAACAGUUCUAAAAAUAAUCAUCCAAGAAAAUAAAUAUAUAUAAGUUUUAUAGACCGUUACAAACUAAUAUACACUCAUAUAAGUCGAUAUUAACUGAAACAAAUCAAAACACAAUAAAAUUUUAACUGAAACGAAACUUAAACUACUUUAUAUUAAUUCAAUAUUGAGACGAUAGCCAAUUAUUAAGAAAAGAAAAAUAAUGGAAAUCAAUCAAAUUAUAGGUCAACUUACUUUCAUGCUUAAAAAAAAAUGCUAAAAUUAAAAAUUGAAAAAAACCCAGAUUUCGAUUAUUAAAAAUAAUCUAUAAUAUAUAUAUAUAUAAGUAUUAUACUAUAUGAUAUACCUAGUGCUGGACCAUUGAUAGACCUUGCCGGUGCUUGAAAAAAUAAUAACCCCAACCUCUGCGUCACAUAAAAUGGACAAUUCUUUAGCUUUCUUCAACAACCCAUUUCGCCUCUUUGAAAACGUUACUUGCCUGCUAUUCAAAUUUUCAAUCUUUUUUAUUUCAAUUUUCCCUCUACCCAUCUCAAAAUUUUCUUCUUUCCUUUACUUUUUCCCGGAAAAUUUUUAAAAGAAAAGUUAAACCCCAGAUUUUUUUUCCUUAAAUUUUGAAAAAAAACCAAAGGUUUUUAUAACAACAAACAGAUCAAAGAAAAGAAGGCAAAAAAUUUAGGGGAUUGUAAAAGGAUUCUUUUUUUAAGAGAAAAGAAAAUAAGUAAGUAAUGUUUAUAUAUAACAGUUGUUUUCUUAAAUGGAAAUGGAAAAUGAUAUGGAAAAAGAAAAUAUGUGACCAAAAUUAGGGUGAAAUCUUGAAAGGUGACAGAUUUGAUACUAUAUCUACCAAUUAUCCAACUAUGGAAACUCUAUUUAUUAUACCUUUAGUUUUUUUUUUCUAUUUUUCUUAAUUUCUCUACCUUUUUACUCUCCUGUUUUUGGUAUUUCAACUCAAAAUGGAUUUUAUUUUUGCUUUGGGUUUCUUUUUUCAAAUAUAAAAAGUGGUUUUUAAUUAUUUAUAUAUUAUUAAUGUGUUUUAACAAUUUUUGUUAGUGAAUAUUGAUUUUUUUUUUGUGAAUUACAAUAGGAGGGCAAAGCCCUAAUAACAACACGACUAGAGCGAUUCGAAUUUAGGCCACACCUGAGACGUUGAACACAAGUAUUUCACGAGGACAUAUAACACAUGUUUUUUUUUUUAAAUUCAUGGCUAAAAUAAUAAAAAAAACCUCUUUAUUUUAUUGUAUUCAAAUAAUAAUAAAAAACCACAGUUUUAGUCGUACCGGCCGGUGCCGCCGUUCUACUGUUAUAGUGCAACAAGCAACACCCUUUUCCAUACUAAUGAAAAUUUUGGUUUGUACCGUUCGCAUUGGCCGGAACAUGGUACACCUGCUGCUGCAUAAAUAAUGUUAAAAAAUAUAAAACUUUUAACUAUUUUCUAUUAGACUAAAUAUUUAAUUGAAAUUGACCAAUAAAAAAAUUAUUGCACUAGAAAGUGAAGUUUAACAUUUAAAAUUUUUUUUGGAGCAUACUUUUUCAUUUAAGAUAUAAAAAUUAAAAUAUAAUAAAAAAACCCACUCACCUCGUUAUCAUAGAAAAAUCUUCACUCGCCCUUCAGUUUUUUUAUUGAAAAAACCCCCUCAUCCUUUGAUUUCUUUUUUUCUACUUAAUUUUAAAUUUAUUGAAUAAUGAGUUUUUACUUGUGGAGUUUAUUAAUCAAUAUUUUAUAUAAUUGAUGAAUAGUUUUAUAUUAAAAAUUCAUUUAUAAUAAUUUAUUUGAUAUUUGUAUAUUUAUUUAUAUAAAUAUAUUAAAUAUUUUUAAAAAAUAUCGAUAAAUUCAAACUGAUACAUAAAAUAGACUAAUACCAAUACAUACCGGUUCUCAUAGAAAAGUGGUACUUAUACCAAUGUGGUAAUGACUACCUUGAAAGCAAGUAUGUGGGUGGCUAUAAUGUUUGAUGCUUUGUUUUCUUUGAAUAUUUUGCUUUGAUGCUUUUGAUCUGUGCUGAUCUUUGAGUGUUACCAUUGGGAUAUAUAUGGCUAUCUAAAUUUUUAUGAUUUGCUAUGCAUUGAUUGUGGUUGUUUUAUUAAUAAAUUUAUAUUUUGGAUUGAGAAAAAAAAGAAAAAGGGAUUCGAAACACAAAAAAAAAAGUAGAGAAAGUGAACACAAUAAUAUACGUGGUUAGGGAAUAUUCCCUACAUCCACGGGCAGAACUGAAAAUGAAAUUCACUACUAAAAAUUGGAGAUUACAAUGGAAUUACAUCAUAAAAAUAAAAUACCUUGCCACUAACUAUCUACAAACUUUGAAUGGAUUCAUGGUCUGAGAAAUUCUGAAAACUAAGAAGGACAUCUUUGAGAUUCGACAGAACAAUAUUUUGGGAACUUUGUUGUCUUACAUGUGUUAAAUUGAGCUCUCUAAUGCCAUGUUGUAACGUGUACUGUAUCCCUCCAUUCAUCCUGCAAGGAUCAAUAUCAUGUCUUCAGUGAUGACAAAAUCUGUUGGCACUGAUAUCCUUAUGCAAUAACAGAAAUCUAUCCACAAAGAUCAACAAACUAUCACGUAAAAGACUUUUUCUUCUGAAACACCAUUGGUUAAUAGUAUAAUGAAAUCUCAAAUACUUUUAACUAAAAUCCCAUUCCCAUAUACCAGUUUCAUAGCAGCUGCUUAGAAACUAGAAGAUGCAGAUGAAAACAGAACAUUCAAUUUGCUGAAUAAAUGUUGCAGAGAAUUGACUAACCGACUUUACUAAAUCAAAUAAGCUGAAGCAAACCAGUUGAAGGUCUCCUCUAUUUUUCGCCAGUUUAGCCUUCAAUGCCUGCAAAAAGUAAAUACAAAAUAUAUAACACUGAUUUCUAUUAUCAUGUUGUUCAUGAGGACAGUCAGAUAUAUAUAAAGUCAUGAGGACAAUCAGAUAUAUAUAAAGAAAAGGUAUGAAAUUGAUAAAUGUUUAAAAUGCGCUUCACACCUGUGGUUUGAGUGUGGAGAAAUCGAUGCCAGAUUUUGCUACUUCAAUUAAAUUUAAUGCCCUCGGAGAGAUGACUUUGCAUAUCAAUUCGAACAUAAGGUAUGUGGGCAAUCUUAAACCACUCUCGUCCUUUACCCCUACUGCACCCUUCUUGUACCAACGGGCAACGCUGUAUACAUAAAUACUCAAGCGAGAGAAGCAUAUCUUUUUCCGGAAGAGAUGUGAGCUUAGGACAUUGAUAGAUUCGCAAUUUUUGAAGAGAGGUCAGGUAUUGAAAGCCCUUGGAGCACAUGAAUUCCAAAUUCUCAAAAUUUUCAAUGGAAAUAAAUGUGAGAGAAGGAGGCAGCGUCAUUCCUAUCCCUUCUUCUGGAAACGACACCACAUUUGAGCAUCCUUCACCGCUGAUGUUGAGUCGCUGAAGAGAGGUAAGUCUGUUAAAUCCCCAUUGAACAAGUGAUGUAUAAAUUUUGGGUGCGUUUGAGAUUGCAAGUGAUGUGAGGUUGGCAGGGAAACCCUCUUCUGGAAAGGAUAUGUCAGCCGAACAAUAAGACACCUUCAAUUCUCGAAGGGAGGUGAAGUUGUUGAUGCACUUGGGAAGGACUCCAAAAUUUUCACAAUUCUCAAUUGCGAAAACUCUGAGAUUUGUGGUGGGCAACCCACUUUCUUCAAAUGAAACCAGAUUUGGACACCUAGAUAAUUUAAUCUCCUGAAGAUGGCUGAGCUUGUCUAAUCCCCGCGGUAAUGAUUUAAUUUUUUCAGCACCACGAAUGCCAAUGCUUUCGAGAUCAAUGGUUUCAAAGAAGUCUUGGGCUAUGCAUUCCAACACUGGACAAUCCCAAAUAAAUAGCUGUUUAAGCAUUACGGGUAACUUGGCGUUUAAAAAUAACCUAGUUAGCUUUUAACAACUUUCAAUUUCGAGAUGUUGAAGUCGAUUGCAUAUAUCGCCCCUUGAUAAUAACCAUAUUAGAGAUGGACAGCUUCUUAUUACUAAGUGCUCAAGAAGACAAGUGUUGCUACUCAUACUCUUAUUAUUAUUUUCUUUUUCAUCAACCAAAUAUUGCAAAUUCACGCAAUUCCCAAUCCUCAGCUCUUUUAAUGCAGGAGGAAAGUUACUCUCUGCAAAACAAACCAAGCCGGGACACGCUGCAAGUGUUAUUCUUGUAAUGAAUGGGAAAGCAUGUAAGGCUUCUGGUAGUCUAUUGAGCCUUCCACAAUUAUCUAUUGCCAGAGAUUCAACACCUGGAAUCUUGUCAAGUUGCAAUCUCUCCUCCUCUGUUUCCAAAGAGACCAAUUGGGGACAAUCCGCAAUACUAAUAAAACGAUGCCCGACUAAUCUUAACCCAAUUUGCGAUAAAGAUCCCAACUCCUUCCAACCAGAGACGUUGAAUCUUUCGGAGUUUGCAAACCUCAACAUUAUCCUCUCUGCUGAAAUGUUAAAAUUUGAAAUAUUUGAAACACACAAACUUUUAAAGGAGGUAACCUUCUGUACGGACAAAGAACCUUCAUCCACCAAUUCUUCACACCCUUCAACCCAUAUUUUACGCAGCAAGGGAAAACAAGAAAUUGAAACUACCAGUCUCUUACAGUUGUAGAUUUCAAGCGUCUGCAAGGAUUGAAGGAUGGUUGGCAACCUUCCCAGCAAUAGAGGACAUUUUCUGAUUGAAAGAAAACGAAGGCUGGGGAAUUUCGAUACUUGCUCAUCAUCUUCACAUAGGUCCCACUCCUCCCAAUUCAGCAUAUUGCCAAAACGCAGAGACUCUAAUGAUGCAAAAGUAUUUGAUUGAUUUUCUCCAAACAUCUCAGCACCAAUCUUGUGUACUUGAUCCAAACCACUAAUUGAAAGAUCUUUUAACAACAACAACCUUCCAAUCGAUGGUAGAGAUUUGCAAUUUUUACAGUCGUGAAGCUCCAAUGACAACAUAUUUUUGAAGGAAGGAUCUGCAAUCCAAGUAGAGAAUUUUGCACCACCAUAAUUCUCAAUGACGAGUUGCUCAAGCUUUUUUGGAGGACAAAGAGAGUCCAACACCCAUUCUUCAACUUCUUUAUUCCUUGAAGCAUUUUCAAACUUUUUCCUCCAAUGCAAUACCAGUCGAUCAAUCCCCUGCUUCUCAUAUAACUUGCUUUCCCCUGCAUCUUCACCAUUAACAUUCUCCAACCCAGAAAGACGGAAAUCACCUUCGAGGUUUGACAAAUAUUUCAAACCUCUAAUAUAACUACCAUCACCUUCCCCUAUUAUAAAAUCAGUUAAACUUUGAAGAUUCGUUAGCUUAUCAAUUCUAAAAGGAAUCCUUUCUAUUGAGUUCGCACCUCUGAUAUCAAGAUAAUGCAAGUUGACAAGAUUUCCCAUCUUUGAAGGUAACAUUUGAAGCUUGUAACACCACCUUAAUAAUAAGGUUUCUAAAUGGUAAAGAGUGCACAAAGAAUCUGGUAGGCAUUUGAUUUUUGUGCUCGAAAAAUUUAAGUAGCGAAGAUGUUUUAAAUUUUCAAAAACAUCAGGCAACUCAGUGAUUAUAUACCCACUCAAAGAAAGCAUCCUUAGGUAGCCAAGUCUUGGUAACAAAUCAUCCAAAACAACAUUAGUUAAAAAAGGGGCCCGAUAAUCACACAUUAAGGGUAAAAAAGUACGUAGAGAAUUCACUUGAUCAAAUGCUUCAAACUUCUUCACUGUGUCAUAUGUUCCAACAAUAUAAGAAGAAUGUCGAGUGCGAUUUGAGAACUUCCAUUUCUUAUCACCCUCUAAUUUUGAGCAUAUUUCCCCUGCAACUACUUGAGCUAAAUCAUUGAUAAGGUCAUGCAUUACGAAUCGGGACUUAUCUUUACUGGAUGUUUGAAAGAAUCGGGACUUAUAUUUACUGGAUGUCUGAAAAAAUGACCUGGACACUAGAUCUUGAAAAUAUUGAUUUCCGAGAUCUUUAAUUUGAGGCAUAGCUUUUUGUUGCAAGAGACCUUCUGCUCUCCAUAACAAGAUAAUUUCUUCUUCCCCAAAUUCAUAGUCUUUAGGAAGUAUGGAGCAAUAUGCAAAACAUCGUUUCAAGUAUGACGGAAGAUGAUGGUAGCUUAACCGCAAAGCUGGAAUUAUGCCACACUGCUCUUCUGGUAAGUUCCAUAUCUCACUCUCAUAUAGUCUUUCCCAUUUUCCAUGAUAUUUAACCGUGCGAAGCAAGCUUCCAAUGACUUUUGCAGCCAAAGGUAAGCCAUUGCACCUUCUAACAAUUUUCUUUCCAAUUUCUUUAAACUGGAGAUGUCCAUCGAAAUUUCUUGCUUUUAAUGCAUGCUGUGUAAAUAUGGAUAAACAAUCAUCAUCCGAUAGUUUAUCCAAAUGAAAAGCUUUGAGCGGAUCCACAAUAGAUGAAACAAUUUGAAGACGAGUGGUUACAAUGAUAUGGGUCCCUGCUCCAAACGGAGACCGUAAGAUGGUCCAAUCAUUAUAAUUUUCGUUCCAAAUGUCAUCUAAAACAAGCAAGAAUCUUUUCCCAGACAACUUCUCCUUCAACUUAACUUGAAGUAAAUUCAAGUCAUUCUCGUCAUGAGAGUCAGGAUCGAUAGAUUUUAAAAUUGUCCUGGUUAUAUUAACUGCGUCAAAAUUAUCAGAAACGCAUACCCAGGCCUUGUGGUGAAAAGACUGGUUGAAGGUGGCAUCAUUGUAAACAAGCUGAGCAAGAGUUGUUUUACCCAUCCCUCCCAUGCCGACGAUGGAAAGGACUGAAACUCCGUUGGAGUUAUCACCUUUGAGAAACUCAAUCAUUUCUGUCUUCUCCUUGUAUCUGCCAACAUACUCCACAACUCCAUCCAGUACGGAAGUUGGUUGCAGCCUAGGUUGCUUUCCCUUGGAGGUUGGAGCUUGAGACAAGAUCUCACUCAACCCCAAACUACUUCUUCGAGUAGUCAAACUAUUCAGUCUAGCAGUGAUC
rnacentral:lncRNA from 1 species